GACGAACGCUGGCGGCGUGCCUAAUACAUGCAAGUAGAACGCACAGUUUAUACCGUAGCUUGCUACACCAUAAACUGUGAGUUGCGAACGGGUGAGUAACGCGUAGGUAACCUGCCUGGUAGCGGGGGAUAACUAUUGGAAACGAUAGCUAAUACCGCAUAAUAUUGAUUAUUGCAUGAUAAUUGAUUGAAAGAUGCUAUUGCAUCACUACCAGAUGGACCUGCGUUGUAUUAGCUAGUAGGUGAGGUAACGGCUCACCUAGGCGACGAUACAUAGCCGACCUGAGAGGGGGAUCGGCCACACUGGGACUGAGACACGGCCCAGACUCCUACGGGAGGCAGCAGUAGGGAAUCUUCGGCAAUGGACGAAAGUCUGACCGAGCAACGCCGCGUGAGUGAAGAAGGUUUUCGGAUCGUAAAGCUCUGUUGUAAGAGAAGAACGGGUGUGAGAGUGGAAAGUUCACACUGUGACGGUAUCUGACCAGAAAGGGACGGCUAACUACGUG
rnacentral:rRNA from 1 species